UCUGUACAGAAAGUCCUCAUUCCCUUCAUUCCUCGUUGCUGCCUUAGGACAUGGACACCAGUCAUUUCAAGAGUUUGGAGCAUUUGCAGUUCAUUACCAAGGGUGUUGUAGUAGUCAGACCACCAGCAAGGGAAGGAGAAGCAAAGCUGCUUAUGUCUUUUCAGCCUUUUGAUUGUACAAAAACUUCGACAGCAUUGCUGUAAAAAAGAGAGAGGAAACAUCCAGUAAUUCUUCUGAGAUGAUUUCUCCAUACUUUUCAUCUUUUACUGCAAUAGGGAUUGCCAGGGAACUAUCCAAGAAAGAAAUGCAGAUAAGCAAUACCACCACCAGAAGGAAAGGGAAGGGGAGGAAAAGAAAGGCAGAAAAUACUUGGGGAUUUUUGUGAAACUCAAACAAAAAGCAAGAGCAGCUCUAAACUGGCAGAGACAAAGAACUGUGUAAGCCUACAGAAGUUCUAGCACUUGCAUGGAUAGAGAGGUACUGACUCACCACUUACAUGAUAUGCAGAUGACUGGUUAUAAGUUUUAAUGUGUGUGGCAAUAUUAACUAAAACCAAGGCAUGUGACAGUAGUGGACUAAGCCAUAACCACACACAUACAC
rnacentral:lncRNA from 1 species